AAAUAGCCCCGAUAGCAACGGUUACCCCGCAGCAUGGAUUGGACACGGUCCGGCGCGAGGAGUAUGAGUGGAUAGCGGGAAAAGCU
rnacentral:misc_RNA from 1 species